AAUCCUAAUGCACAGUCAAUCACAGACAGACAUUACACGUCGUAACUUUCAUAAGUUACUUAAAAAGUUUAACAACGGACAUUGGGGAUAACAAAUAAUUUCAGCUGAAGUUUUCAUGUACCUGGUCAACUAGGUGAUCUUGACAAUAGAAAUGAAAUGGUUUAAUCCAAUAAUGCGAACUCACAACCUAUGUCUUCUGAAGAAAAGUCAUUUCUGUUGCAGUUGUUAAUCUUCAAGGUAUUGAUGCCUUCGCCAGAUCCAAUUCUUUGUUGCUGAUGAGAGAGAGAAUUCAUCAUUUUGUGUGCAACAGUUCUUUCUGCAUCAAGUUUAACUGGUCGUUCCUUGAUGGUGGUGUCGUGUUAACAAAUUUGCAUCAUCAAUCAUCAUAUAUUGUUAAAUUGUCAUUGUGUCUGUGCAUAGUUAUCGUUUAAAAGUUAAGAAGCAACAAAAACAAAUAUGGGAUGUUCAUGUCAAACAAAUAAUAAACAUGUUUUCGGGAUUGGGAAAGGAAAGUGGAGGAUGUUGGAGGGAAGGGUGAUUUAAGUUUGGAUAAAAAAUCAGUUAAUCCAUAACCCCACAAACAUAUCCCUACCAAUUAAUCUUAUUCAAACCCCACAAACUUAUACCUUCCAAUUCUUCAAACCCCACAAACAAACACCUUUCAAUCCCCAAAUUUAUACCCUAAACCACAUAAACCAAUAUUAAGCCCAAUCAAUGUAAUGUCAAUAAUGAAUUAAAAAACUUGUAUUUUAAA